UCAAAGAAAACAAAAAUUAGUACAAGUUAGCCACAUAUGUCGCUCUCAUUCUUAUUAUUCGUUUUUUAGUCUUGGUUUUGUCGGUUAAAAAUGCGAGGCGCCGGUCUCGAAAGAGAAACAGAGAGGGCCCACUAAAAUUAAUGCCGGCCAACCACCACGUUUAAGUAUAGAACAUGGCGAGUUCACGUGGAAAUAGAACGCAUUCAUUCUAGUUUUGAUCAUGGCUCGUCAUUUCGGCACGAACGAUCCCCGCUCCACCAAAUGGGUCGCGCAUUCCAGUCCCAAAGGGAUACAGUAUAACACGAUUUAUAUUUGUUUCCAAAUGCGGUUCAUUUUAAAAGCUUCUGUUCCGAAAGCUUUAAAGCUCUCAGCAAUCAAGAGGAUUGUCAGAGAACAGUGGUGGAAAUGAGAUUGUGCAUGAAAUCUUGAUUUUUAUGACAGCAGAGAAUAACCUAACCCUACUUAAUAUUAAUGCUUCCCAGUUAUAUAGCCAAUUUCUGUUUAUUUAAUAUGACUGUACAUAUAAUUUAUUAAUUUCAGCCUUAUUAGCUACAAAAUGGAUUUGGAUUUAUAUCAUUUUUUUAUUCUUAAUCUGAGAAAAAUAUUAUUGCAUUUUAUUUUGUACCGACCCUAACACCUCUUCUUUCUUUGUCAUUCUGGCUUAGAUUGCUUCUUAAUUAGUAUCAAUAUUUAUUUAUCAAUAUUUAUUUAUAAUAAAUAGCAGUUACACAAUUUUAGUAUAAAAUAUAAAAUAUUUGUAAACAUUUUGAUGGCAAUUUUUUGUGACUAUAUUUUUUUGCGAUUGUGAUUAUAAGCUGUCAGUAUCUCGUAGUUGUGUCAUUAUUGCUCUAUGGAUAUUUAUGCACUUAGAGAAUUUAAAUUGUACAAUAUGCACAUUUUAAAGUACAAUGCUUGUUUUAAAUGGUGAAAUAAAUUUCUAUUUAAGUUUCAUUUUUUCAAUGUAGAAUAUUCGCAGUAUACAAUUGCGCUGCACUAACUGGCCACCGCUAUAUCUUUACCAAUUCUUAGAACAGAUUUCUUGGAGCGAGUCUCGUAUGUUAAUAUGUAAGAUAACAAAACGUGUGAGUCUCAGGUAAGUAUCCGUAUCUCAUUUCUAAAAUCGUACUCAUCAAUGAAAGGAGAUAUUCCGCAUUUCUUAGAAAUAUAAUUAUAGCUUUCUCUAUAAGUAGUCUUUUAGUAAAAUACUGUUUUUAACUGACUGCUAUCUAUACAAAACAAAUAUGGAUACGCGAAAGGCAUCAUUGCUGCUUCUACUUACGAAGAUGAAUCGACAAAUAAUGGAAGAAAUUCGAAAUUGAAGAUCACACGAGUAAAACAUUUCUGUUGAUUUUAUGUCACUCUGUAUCACUUUAUAAUUAAACAGAAGAAUUUUAAUAGGAUACAAAUAGGAAUAAAAUGGCCUAUUAGAGAUUUUUAUGCAUUUAUGGAAAAUGCAAAUGUAUUAAAAUUUCUUAUAAAUGCACAAAAAUCCGUAGUUUAUGUACAAUUACACAAAAUAUGUAAAAUACUCGUUAUAAUAUUUAAAGGGUGAAACAAAUCUCUAUAUAAGUUCUUUUAUUAGCAUUAUUUAUAAAAAUAUGAAUUUGCAUAAAUAUUCGUAGUCUUCUUAUCAUGUUCUUUUGUCGUAAUCUUCAAUUAUUUUUAGAAUUCGCUCGAUUGAAUAUUGAAAAAAUUACGAAAAAGGAUAUAAAAGGAAGCAGAAAUGCAGAAUCCAUUUGCAUCGUGAGAAACGAAGCCGACAGAGGUGCCACAAUGACAACAUGAAAUUGACCAUAUACGGUGUCGAAAACCGUCGUUCAUUGCGCGCACCGCUUUCCACCCACGUGCGAGCGGCUGACCGUCUUGAGUGACGAUCAGAAAACCGCGCUGACACGUCCAAUACUAAUAGAAAUUAUUUGUUGGCUAACAUACGCGUCGAAUAAAGCUUACAUGUUUCCUCAAACGUUCUUAAUAGAUAUUAUAUUGCACUAAGAGAAAAAUUUCACUUUCAAUAUCUUUGUUACUUAAAUUAGUACUAAUCUAUUGAGUUAUAACAUAAAUCUAUCCUGUUUUCGUAUAUACAUACCUAUAGAUUUUAUCGGAGAUAAAAACAAGUGGACAUGUAAUGAAAAUUGGAAAUACAGUGCUGAUCGUAAAUAUUAGGAUACUAGUUGAUAUUUAGUACAAAUUUCUUUUUACUUUUUCUACCUUCUGUUUAUAUUUUAUGAUAAAUUUGUUAUUUCAUUCGUAUUAUACGUGUUUCAUAAUGUAAAAUACUAAAUAAAAUAAAAUUUGUUUUGCGGUCCUUCAAUGAAUGUAACUCGUAGGUGUCAUAUUUAGGUAGGUAUCAAUGACGUUUCGUCAAAUACGGUCUGUUUACACAAAAAUGUAAAUAUUAACUUCAAUUGUUUACUAAAUAAUCUAUAUAUUAUAAGAAUAUAAAUAAAACUUAAAUAUAUAACACUGGUACUAGUUCGAUUAAACUUCAUUGAUACCUACCUCUACUAUACGUCCACUUAUUUUUGUCACCGACUGUGUAUUACGUAUGUUGUGACAAAUACAAAAAUAGAACGAAUUUAUAUUCCAACCCAAUAACAACAAACAGUAAAUGUAAUAAAACUUCAUUAAUAUUAGAAGUUCACUGAUUCUUUUCACGACCUCUUUUCACUUGUACAAUACAAAUUUAUGCUUCAGCCAAAUAAAUUCAAUUGAUAAUUCAUUUAAUUGAAUACAAACUGACAUUUCAUUCCAACAAAUAGAAUACUGUUAUCAAAGUAAAAGAAUGGAACUGUACGGAAGAUUUCUCACGAGGACUCACUGUUUGUUACGAAGAAAUGAAUUUACCAGAGGAGUGGUUCGAAGGAUUGACGGCCGAGAGAGGAGGGAUUUUUCAUCGAAGCUGAAAUCACAGGGACAAAAAGCACGCGUUCGACCCAUUGGCAAGAUAGUUGAACGUGUUUUAUGCACGGGAGGACUCUUAACUUCUGGUUAAAUGGUAGCAUAAAUGCCGGUGGUAUGUAACAGGUGAGAAGGGUUCGAAAGAGGCUGGUUUCCGACGCUGGCUCUCAUAAAAAUAAAGAACUCGAAUUCCAAAGCAGUGGUUGUCAAGCCCCUGUGCCCCGCGCGCACCUCCAACCAACCUAACCUUACGGACGGGCCAAUGCCACCCGAGUUACGCACACGCAUACAACAGACACGCGCACAAGCAUAUAGCCAAACGAGAAUUAGACUCUGUUCUACAACCUGUCGUUGAUCAGAGAACAGACUCAAUCCCCGAAAUCCUUUUUGCACUCGUGAUCCUCUCGCUUGAUCAAAGAUCACGAUGUAUCGGUGGAAUUGAGUUCCACUUUCACGAACUCGCGACUCUUCUCCCGUUGGCCAAAAUACAGAAAGAUUUGAGUCCUCUUACACAAUUACAGUGGCUUAAAAAAGUAUUCGGACACUUAUAGAAACUUUUUAUCAUUUUUUUAAAUAUUUAUUAGACGUAUUAUACAAAAUAUUUUAUAUAGACUUUUACAUAGAUUUAUAACUUCUAUGAUCAAUGAUAGCUUUUUGUUUCACUAAAAUGUUGAUAAUAUUUCAAAAUAUUUUACAGAACACAUCUUUUCCUUUAAUUUAGUGUUAUACAAAUCGUCAAAAAAAUUUUCUAACUGAAUGAAAAGAUAGUGAGAUUUUCUGUCACAGAGAAUAAGAUUGUAUCGAAAAAUAUAUUGAUCUAUACUACGAUCUUUGUAAAUUUUUUGAACUUCCUUUGAUAUUGCAUUAUAUAUCUAUUUGUUAAUGAUAAUGAACCUUUGGAUUAAUAUAAACAUUCUUCUAGUAAUGGUUUAAUAAAUCCUCUCGAACAGUU